GGGCCCGUCGUCUAGCCCGGUUAGGAUGCCGCCCUGACGAGGCGGUGGUCCGGGGUUCAAAUCCCCGCGGGCCCACCA
rnacentral:tRNA from 3 species